rnacentral:rRNA from 1 species
GACGUAGGGCGCGAGCGUUGUCCGGAUUUAUUGGGCGUAAAGGGCUCGUAGGCGGUUUGUCGCGUCGGGAGUGAAAACUCAGGGCUUAACCCUGAGCCUGCUUCCGAUACGGGCAGACUAGAGGUAUGCAGGGGAGAACAGAAUUCCUGGUGUAGCGGUGAAAUGCGCAGAUAUCAGGAGGAACACCGGUGGCGAAGGCGGUUCUCUGGGCAUUACCUGACGCUGAGGAGCGAAAGUGUGGGGAGCGAACAGG